UGACCAGGUAUCCCCCUUUCCCUUCCCAUAUCCAACUGACCAGGUAUCCCCCUUUCCCUUCCCAUAUCCAACUGACCAGGUAUCCCCCUUUCCCUUCCCAUAUCCAACUGACCAGGUAUCCCCCUUUCCCUUCCCAUAUCCAACUGACCAGGUAUCCCCCUUUCCCUUCCCAUAUCCAACUGACCAGGUAUCCCCCUUUCCCUUCCCAUAUCCAACUGACCAGGUAUCCCCCUUUCCCUUCCCAUAUCCAACUGACCAGGUAUCCCCCUUUCCCUUCCCAUAUCCAACUGACCAGGCCUCCCCCUUUCCCUUCCCAUAUCCAACUGACCAGGUAUCCCCCUUUCCCUUCCCAUAUCCAACUGACCAGGUAUCCCCCUUUCCCUUCCCAUAUCCAACUGACCAGGCCUCCCCCUUUCCCUUCCCAUAUCCAACUGACCAGGUAUCCCCCUUUCCCUUCCCAUAUCCAACUGACCAG